GACGAACGCUGGCGGCGUGCUUAACACAUGCAAGUCGAACGGAAAGGCCCUGCUUUUGUGGGGUGCUCGAGUGGCGAACGGGUGAGUAACACGUGAGUAACCUGCCCUUGACUUUGGGAUAACUUCAGGAAACUGGGGCUAAUACCGGAUAGGAGCUCCUGCUGCAUGGUGGGGGUUGGAAAGUUUCGGCGGUUGGGGAUGGACUCGCGGCUUAUCAGCUUGUUGGUGGGGUAGUGGCUUACCAAGGCUUUGACGGGUAGCCGGCCUGAGAGGGUGACCGGCCACAUUGGGACUGAGAUACGGCCCAGACUCCUACGGGAGGCAGCAGUGGGGAAUAUUGCACAAUGGGCGGAAGCCUGAUGCAGCAACGCCGCGUGCGGGAUGACGGCCUUCGGGUUGUAAACCGCCUUCGCCUGUGACGAAGCGUGAGUGACGGUAAUGGGUAAAGAAGCACCGGCUAACUGCGUG
rnacentral:rRNA from 1 species